CCGCGCCGUGGCGGCCGAGUGGGGCAUCACGUGCAAGAUGAGCGACAACUGCCGCUGCCUUGACUGCCAGAGCUGCUACUUUGACUGCGAGUACGACCAGAACGAGCACGAGAAGACGGACGGAGGCCUGGGCGCCGGCACGCCCAUGUUCAUCUCGGAGGUGAUGCAUGGGACGGCGUGCAACAUCCUGUAAAGCGACGCCACCUACCGCGAGUGGUGGUAGGGCAGGGGGUCAACGACCUCACUGUGCUCCAGAACCGACUUGCUACCCCUACUUUGACUUCCUCAGCCUGGUUGAUUAAAUUAUUCCAUUGCGUAGUUCUUUGCCCGUCGUUAAAUGCAUGUUGCAUGCAUUAAUAAUUUACGACAUCAGCUCUUCACACGACAUACCUGUGAACAACUAUCACUUUAAGGUGGAGAGAUAUGAACCGAAAUACAUCAUUUAAGUUUCGACAGGUGUUAGGCUAAAAAGUAUUUUUAUAAUUUAAUAUUAAAAAUUGGUCUUCGUUAAGAUUGAGAUUUUCUGAGACCACCAAAAAGGGUCAUUGAAAGUAUUAUUACAAAUUAGUUCUCAAAAAUAAAUUAAAUGUUUAACACUAAUGAUUUCACAGGGCUAACUUUUUAUAGCAGUCAGCCACUGGAAACUUCAGACCAUCUAUUAACUAUUUAACUAUUUUGCUUUAACGAGGACAAAUUUUCAAUACCCUACUUAGGGAUAUAAUAUUUUUAUGGCCUGAUAACUGAUGAAACCAGUUCCUAUCUCUCCUCCUCAAAGAUCCAAUGCGCACUGCAAUGUUAAGCGGAUUAAUAAUGUCACCCAACAUGUUUUUCAUAAAAUUUUAAAAUAAGUUUAAUUAUUUCUCACGUAAUCAAACAAAUAAAUUUGAAGUGACUUUCUUAGAAAUAAUUUGAAAACAAUUAUUAUCUCCUGUAUGUUAUUUGUUUCUGUAUAAGCCAAAUUAUAUUUAGCUAUGGAUCUGUUUAAUAAUUUUAAAACAACUUUGUGAAUGAAAAAUAAAAUAAAUCCUAAAAGUAAUGUCUUACAUUAUGUCUAAACAAAAAAAAAUAGAACAGUGUGGAAUAUUAUAUGUAGGUAACACACUGCAUGGUUGGAAACCAGCAUCUCUAAUGAAGCUCUGAGAUCUCAGUGAGAGCUACUGAACUUACGGAUGACUUCUUUAAAUUAUUAUAGUCUUAAGAAAGAGAUAACUGUGAAGGAAACUUGAAUCAAAUUCUCUAGAACCGUUGCCCUUACAUAAAACUAUUGUACAACGGACUGAUAUUUCUAUAAAGAUAACGACUAUUUUAUGAAGAACCACAAAUAAAUAAUUCUGUAAGGAACUACCUAAAUUAAAUAAAAAUAAUUUUAAUUUUUUUUUUUGACUUGAGAAUUUAAUCUGCUUACCGUCAUUGAUGAUUAAAACAGCAUCCUAUAGUAUUCUACUAAAUCCUGUUUUUGUCAAAAUGUGGAAUAAUAUAAAUAUAAAUUGAAAUACUAUCUAACUACAUAACUCGUGUUAUUGAGGGGAUGUAACAAAAAUAUAUAACACAUAAAUUCAUUUAUUUUUUACAAAAUAAUUGUUUUUCUGAAAAUUUAUUGAAGUUAUCUUUUCUUCUGUUAUAUUGAUAUAUUAUUGACAAUAAUUAAGUAACUGCUAAUUUUUACAAUCGUUUACAUCAUUUUUUGCUAUGAAUACAUUUAAUCAAAAAAUUUACAAAAUAUACACAAAGUUACUGCAACCAUGAUCUUAUAUUUUGCAUCAGCAUUUUGGUUGGAUGCCAUUUAAAGUCACAAUUUUGUAUUUUUCUGAUUCUGUAAUGACUAAAUGAAGUGGUAAAGAAUUUAGGGUAGUAAAAAUUUUUUGAUUGCGGAUUUUAUAGGGUUUUGAAAUAAAUAUUUAGUUACAAACGUGAGCGCAAAUAAUAAUGCACUGAUAUAUUUAUUAUUUGGAAUUAUUUUUAUGUAUUAUAUGUAACAUACGUAAGGUAUGACUUUAAAAUGGCAACAUUAAAUCAGCAAAUAGUGCUGCUGAUACUGCUGAUUCUCUUCCACAGUUUACUAUUUACUACAGGCGAUUUGUGUAACAGGAGUAUCAGUAAUAUAGGCUAUCCCAAACUUUAUUCAUUUCCCAAUCAUACGACCACUAAUAACUUACCAAUAAUAAUUAAAUGUGCUGAAACAUUCCAAUUACAGUAUUUUUUGCAAAUGCAUGUUUCGCCGUGACACAGUGAACAUUUAAAUAUUUUAUAAAAUAUCGUUAAAUUUUUCAUAACUUGAAAAACAGGUAUUAAACGAAAAUAAAAAAGGCCGUUUUAUCUAAAACUAAUUUACUUCGCUUGUAUUGUUCCAGUUUGUUAAAACUAGUAUCGUCUACAUAUCUCUGCCUCUCCCCACAAAAAAAAAAUAAAAAAAAAUUUCCGGAUGGACUAAUCAAAGUACGACAAAAAACGUAAACCUUCAA